UGUGUUGUGUGUGAGAGAGAAAGAAGGGGAGGAAUGGGGAGAAGAAGAAGAAGAAGAAAGAAGGAGAAGAGAAGAGGAAGGAGCUGAAAGAGUAGAGGAAGGAGUCAGGACCGGACAGCGAAGUAUUGUUGGAUGCAGGUACUUCUAUGGCUUGGUUCGGUUUCCAAUUACUCAGAACUCGACGAUUCUUUAGUAGCCGAACUAUAGCUUAGAAAUUGGAUUAGUGUGGUAACUAUUAUUUUAUAGUCAUUCUUGCGCAGAGGCCAUGCUAAUCUUCUCUGUAUUGUUCCAAUUAUUUUCUAGUCAAUUUGUAGCUUAGACAGGAUUGGUUAUCUAGUACGGGAGAAGCGAGCAAAUACAGCAGAAACCUUGCAAGGACAUUGCAUCUUUCAGAAGUGUUAUAGCUCAUGACUUAAGAAUCAAGAUUAUUGCAUUCUUCCUCAGCUUGUGCAAUUACUUUUGAACAUU